GUAGGGGUGAUAGAUUCCAUGGCAGAGGGGAUGGUGCAAAUGCCUUUUAGCAAGACGCAGUGGCUUCUGUCGUCUCUAG
ensembl:miRNA Mir7091 microRNA 7091